GUCUCUUCGGGGAUGAUUAAACCGGCGCACGGGUGAGUAACACGUGAGUGACCUGCCUUUUAGACUGGAACAACUUACCGAAAGGUGAGCUAAUGCCGGAUGAGUUAUAUAAGUGCAUGUUUAUAUAGGAAAAGUUGGGGAGACCUGACGCUGAAAGAUGGACUCGCGUCCCAUUAGCUAGUUGGUAGGGUAAUGGCCUACCAAGGCGACGAUGGGUAGCCGGCCUGAGAGGGUGGCCGGCCACACUGGGACUGAGACACGGCCCAGACUCCUACGGGAGGCAGCAGUGGGGAAUUUUGCGCAAUGCUUGUAAGAGUGACGCAGCGACGCCGCGUGAAUGACGAAGGCCUUCGGGUCGUAAAGUUCUUUCGACAGGGAAGAAAAUGCCUAUAAGUAACUGUGUAUGUAUUGACGGUACCUGUAUAAGCAGCCCCGGCUAACUCCGUGCCAGCAGCCGCGGUAAUACGGAGGGGGCGAGCGUUGUUCGGAGUGACUGGGCGUAAAGAGCACGUAGGCGGUGUUGUAAGUCAUUAGUCAAAGACUAGAGCUCAACUUUAGUAAGGCUAGUGAUACUAUAAUACUAGAGUAUCAGAGAGGAUUGCAGAAUUCCUGGUGUAGCGGUGAAAUGCGUAGAUAUCAGGAGGAAUACCGUUAGCGAAGGCGGCAAUCUGGCUGGAAACUGACGCUGAGGUGCGAAAGCGUGGGUAGCAAACAGGAUUAGAUACCCUGGUAGUCCACGCUGUAAACGAUGGAUGCUAGGUGUUGGGCUUUUAAGUUCAGUGCCGCA
rnacentral:rRNA from 1 species